UACGGAGGGUGCAAGCGUUGUCCGGAUUUAUUGGGUUUAAAGGGUGCGUAGGCGGCCUUUUAAGUCAGCGGUGAAAUCCCGGGGCUCAACCCCGGAACUGCCGUUGAUACUGGAAGGCUUGAGUUCGGUAGAGGCGGGCGGAACUCAUGGUGUAGCGGUGAAAUGCAUAGAUACCAUGAAGAACCCCGAUUGCGAAGGCAGCUCGCUGUGCCGAAACUGACGCUGAGGCACGAAAGCGUGGGGAGCAAACAGG
rnacentral:misc_RNA from 1 species